rnacentral:rRNA from 1 species
UACGAGGGGGGCGAGCGUUGUUCGGAAUUAUUGGGCGUAAAGGGCGCGUAGGCGGUUGGGUAAGUCUUGUGUGAAAUCUUCGGGCUCAACUCGAAGUCUGCACGAGAAACUAUCUGGCUUGAGUGUGGGAGAGGUGAGUGGAAUUCCUGGUGUAGCGGUGAAAUGCGUAGAUAUCAGGAGGAACACCGGUGGCGAAGGCGGAUCUCUGGGCCUUACCUGACGCUGAGGCGCGAAAGCUAGGGGAGCGAACAGG